CCCCCCACCCGUCUGGGGCCGAAUCCACGCUGGGAACCCCGAGCAGCCCCCCCAGGUCCAUCCUUGGCCCCAAAAUCAGCAGGAGGAGCUGCCCCAACACCUGGUGGGUCACCCAGCCCACAGCAGCACCUCCAGGAGGACACAGGAGCCCCGGGGAACACCGGGAGGUGACACAGGGACCCCGGGCACACAGAGGUGACACAGGGACCCCGGGCACACAGAGGUGACACAGGAACCCCGGGCACAGCAGGAGGUGACACAGGGACCUCAGGCACACAGAGGUGACACAGGAACCCCGGGCACAGCAGGAGGUGACACAGGGACCCCGGGAGCAGCAGGAGGUGACACAGGGACCCCGGGCACAGCAGGAGGUGACACAGGGACCCCGGGCACACCACACAGAGGUGACACAGGAACCCCGGGCACACAGAGGUGACACAGGAACCCAGGGCACAGAAGGAGGUGACACAGGAACCCCGGGCACAGCACACAGAGGUGACACAGGGACCCCGGGCACAGAGGUGACACAGGGACCCCGGGCACAGCAGGAGGUGACACAGGAACCCCGGGCACAGCAGGAGGUGACACAGGGACCCCGGGCACAGCACACAGAGGUGACACAGGGACCCCAGGCACAGCACACAGAGGUGACACAGGAGCCCGGGGAACAGAGGUGACACAGGGACCCCGGGCGCACAGAGGUGACACAGGAACCCCGGGCACACAGAGGUGACACAGGAACCCCGGAGCAGCAGGAGGUGACACAGGGACCCCGGGCACACAGAGGUGACACAGGGACCCCGGGCACACAGAGGUGACACAGGAACCCCGGGCACAGCAGGAGGUGACACAGGGACCCGGGAGCAGCAGGAGGUGACACAGGGACCCCGGGCACACAGAGGUGACACAGGAACCCCGGGCACAGCAGGAGGUGACACAGGGACCCCGGGAGCAGCAGGAGGUGACACAGGGACCCCGGGAGCAGCAGGAGGUGACACAGGGACCCCGGGCACACAGAGGUGACACAGGAACCCCGGGCACAGCAGGAGGUGACACAGGGACCCCGGGCACAGCACACAGAGGUGACACAGGGAC